GACGAACGCUGGCGGCGUGCUUAACACAUGCAAGUCGAACGGAAAGGCCCUGCUUUUGUGGGGUGCUCGAGUGGCGAACGGGUGAGUAACACGUGAGUAACCUGCCCUUGACUUUGGGAUAACUUCAGGAAACUGGGGCUCAUACCGGAUAGGAGCUCCUGCUGCAUGGUGGGGGUUGGAAAGUUUCGGCGGUUGGGGAUGGACUCGCGGCUUAUCAGCUUGUUGGUGGGGUAGUGGCUUACCAAGGCUUUGACGGGUAGCCGGCCUGAGAGGGUGACCGGCCACAUUGGGACUGAGAGACGGCCCAGACGCCUACGGGAGGCAGCAGUGGGGAAUAUUGCACAAUGGGCGGAAGCCUGAUGCAGCAACGCCGCGUGCGGGAUGACGGCCUUCGGGUUGUAAACCGCUUUCGCCUGUGACGAAGCGUGAGUGACGGUAAUGGGUAAAGAAGCACCGGCUAACUACGUG
rnacentral:rRNA from 1 species